GUAGGUGGCAAGCGUUGUCCGGAAUUAUUGGGCGUAAAGCGCGCGCAGGCGGUUCUUUAAGUCUGAUGUGAAAGCCCACGGCUCAACCGUGGAGGGUCAUUGGAAACUGGAGAACUUGAGUACAGAAGAGGAAAGCGGAAUUCCACGUGUAGCGGUGAAAUGCGUAGAGAUGUGGAGGAACACCAGUGGCGAAGGCGGCUUUCUGGUCUGUAACUGGCGCUGAGGCGCGAAAGCGUGGGGAGCAAACAGGGAUUAGAUACCCUGGUAGUCCACGCCGUAAACGAUGAGUGCUAAGUGUUAGGGGGUUUCCGCCCCCUUAGUGCUGCAGCUAACGCAUUAAGCACUCCGCCUGGGGAUACGGCCGCAAGGCUG
rnacentral:rRNA from 1 species